rnacentral:misc_RNA from 1 species
CAGAGUUUAUCCAACUCCCAAACCCAUGUGAACUUACCUUUUGUUGCCUCGGCAGGGCCCGAGGGCGCCGCUACGCUCCCGCAGCUAGCGAGGCCCGCGGCGGCCUGCCGGUGGACUACUAUAAACUCUUGUUAUCUACUGUGGAACUCUGAGUUAUACAAACUUAAUAAGUUA